rnacentral:rRNA from 1 species
UACGUAGGAGGCAAGCGUUGUCCGGAAUUACUGGGCGUAAAGCGCGUGUAGGUGGUGGGACAAGUCUGCUGUGAAAGCGCCUGGCUUAACCGGGCGAGGUCGGCGGAAACUGUCCGACUCGAGGACGGUAGAGGGGGGUGGAAUUCCCGGUGUAGUGGCGAAAUGCGUAGAGAUCGGGAGGAACACCUGUGGCGAAGGCGGCCCCCUGGGCCGGCCCUGACACUGAGACGCGAAGGCGUGGGGGAGCGAACGGG